UCUAACAUGUGCGCGAGUCAUUGGGACUGCGAAGCCUAAAGGCGAAAUGAAAGUGAAGGUCGUACCGUAAGGUCGACAGAGGGAGGAUGGGCCGUGUCUGGGCGCGGCUCCGCACUCCCGGGGCGUCUCGUUCUCAUUGCGAGAAGAGGCGCACCCAGAGCGUACACGUUGGGACCCGAAAGAUGGUGAACUAUGCCUGGUCAGGACGAAGUCAGGGGAAACCCUGAUGGAGGUCCG
rnacentral:rRNA from 1 species